GGCUGUUUGCAACAAUAAAUCAGAAUCUAAGCAAGUCAUAAACAGGUGGUUUUGUCUCAGUGGAGUGGUUCAAACAGAGUUGGAUUUAAUAUUGUGCCCUCAAACACCAGGAGGCCUAUCAAUCUUGAUGGUGUAUUCAACAUCAUAUCCUAUGAUACUGUACCUAAGUUGCAGGAUAUGCUUUUGGCUUCAGAUUUUAAGGUUGUGAUUGCAGAUGAAUCGCAUUUCCUGAAGAAUG